rnacentral:rRNA from 1 species
UGGCGGGACGGGGUGGAGUAAUGUCUGGGAAACUGCCCGAUGGAGGGGGGUAACUACUGGAAACGGUAGCUAAUACCGCAUAACGUCGCAAGACCAAAGAAGGGGGACCUUGGGCCUCUUGCCAUCGGAUGUGCCCAGAUGGGAUUAGCUAGUAGGUGGGGUAACGGCUCACCUAGGCGACGAUCCCUAGCUGGUCUGAGAGGAUGACCAGCCACACUGGAACUGAGACACGGUCCAG